AACGAACGCUGGCGGCAGGCUUAACACAUGCAAGUCGAGCGCAUCCUUCGGGGUGAGCGGCGGACGGGUGAGUAACGCGUGGGAACGUGCCCUCUUCUACGGAAUAGCCUCGGGAAACUGAGAGUAAUGCCGUAUACGCCCGCAAGGGGAAAGAUUUAUCGGAGGAGGAUCGGCCCGCGUUGGAUUAGGUAGUUGGUGGGGUAACGGCCUACCAAGCCGACGAUCCAUAGCUGGUUUGAGAGGAUGAUCAGCCACACUGGGACUGAGACACGGCCCAGACUCCUACGGGAGGCAGCAGUGGGGAAUCUUGGACAAUGGGGGCAACCCUGAUCCAGCCAUGCUGCGUGAUCGAUGAAGGCCUUAGGGUUGUAAAGAUCUUUCAGCUGGGAAGAUAAUGACGGUACCAGCAGAAGAAGCCCCGGCUAACUCCGUG
rnacentral:rRNA from 1 species